UUUUCAGUAUAAGUAUGUCCCACGUAAUAUUUGGGACAUAAUUAUAGUAAAU
rfam:Macaca mulatta chromosome 1, whole genome shotgun sequence.